GCAUAGCCGUAAAUAUUGGUAUUAUUAUGUACCUAUAUAUCCGCCAGGGGAUUACAAGCACAAGUUUAAAACCCAAAGGACUUGGCGGUGCUUUAUAACCAUCUAGAGGAGCCUGUUCUAGAACCGAUAACCCCCGUUAAACCUCACCUUCUCUUGCCUUUUCCGCCUAUAUACCGCCGUCGUCAGCUUACCCUUUAAAGGAUAUAAAGUGAGCAAAAAUAGUACAACUCAAAACGUCAGGUCGAGGUGUAGUUUAUGGGAAGGGAAGAAAUGGGCUACAUUUGUCAAACAGACAUAUAACGAAUAAUCAUAUGAAAUAAUGAUUUGAAGGAGGAUUUAGCAGUAAGAAGAAAAUAGAGUGUUCUUCUGAAUUUGGCACUGAAGCGCG
rnacentral:rRNA from 1 species